GACGAACCGUGCGAACGUUGUUCGGAAUCACUGGGCUUAAAGGGCGCGUAGGCGGCUCGCAAAGUCCGGGGUGAAAGCCCCCAGCUCAACUGGGGAAGUGCCUCGGAUACUGGCGAGCUCGAGGGAGGUAGGGGCGGAUGGAACUUCCGGUGGAGCGGUGAAAUGCGUUGAUAUCGGAAGGAACGCCGGUGGCGAAAGCGAUCCGCUGGCCCUCUACUGACGCUGAGGCGCGAAAGCCAGGGGAGCAAACGGG
rnacentral:rRNA from 1 species